rnacentral:tRNA from 1 species
GCCGGAGUAGCUCAGUGGUAGAGCGCCGUCCUUCCAAGUCGGAUGCCGCGAGUUCGAAUCUCGUCUCCCGCU